UAUCAGACUUGUAGCAAAGUUGUUCUAACAAGUCUGAUACAGUCAUGAUAUAACAAGAAUGUUACAAGGUUGAUGACACAAGGUUGUAACAAUAUUGCUAUAUCACGACUACAUCGGACAUGUUGGAACAACCUUGCAAUAAGUCUGAUA